rnacentral:rRNA from 1 species
CUACGGGUUGCAGCAGUGGGGAAUAUUGGACAAUGGGGGAAACCCUGAUCCAGCAAUGCCGCGUGUGUGAAGAAGGCCUGCGGGUUGUAAAGCACUUUCGGUUGGGAGGACUGCUUCUAGCACUAAUAUUGUUGGAAGUUGACGUUACCUUCAGAAGAAGCACCGGCUAACUCCGUGCCAGUAGCCGCGGUAAUACGGCGGUGGCAAGCGUUAAUCGGAAUUACUGGGCGUAAAGCGCGCGUAGGCGGCUAGAUCAGUCGGGUGUGAAAGCCCCGGGCUUAACCUGGGAACUGCAUCCGAUACUGUCUAGCUUGAGUACAGGAGAGGAGAGUGGAAUUCCACAUGUAGCGGUGAAAUGCGUAGAUAUGUGGAGGAACACCAAUGGCGAAGGCAGCUCUCUGGCCUGAUACUGACGCUGAGGUGCGAAAGCGUGGGGAGCAAACAGGAUUAGAUACCCGAGUAGUC